AAUAGUAAUUUUAAAGAUUUUUUCUAGUAUGAAUUAUUAUCUAUUUAUACAAUAUUUGAUUAAAAACAAUUAUAUACUAAUGUAGGUGUUCGUAAUUUUCCACAUCGUGUAAAUAUACAAUGACUGAUAACUGGGCUUUUUCCAGAGAAAUGUUGUUUUUCCGUUACACAGUAACUUUUUACUGUGAGGAAAUGUAACCACACAUUUUUUAAUCGAUCAUUAUUGUACAACUUUUUUGAUAAUCUUACUUAAUUUUUGUUAUAUUCUACAAAGAUAAAUAACGUAAAUUAAUCUACAGUACACCUUCAGUUGAGUUUCAUCCCUUAUUUUAAAAGGAGCUGUUAAUAAUAGUGCUGUCAAUGAGGCUACACUAAUUAUUUAUCGAUUUCCCGAAGAGUUAGGUGGUAGUCUCAAUAAAACAGAGGAAACAGGGAUGUCAAGGCGUCUUGGGCUAUGUGGAACUUAACAUCUGCAUUAAUGUGACCCACCCUUGAAUCCACUCAUUCAGAAAAAUAGUCGGCCAUGUUCCGGUUUAAUCGGAAAGCAAAAUUUAACCAAUUUUUAGUGUCUACUGGCAAGAUUUAUCCCAAUCAAAUAUUUCAAACCAGAAAUUACACAUGACACUCUUAUUGCACAUGACACUCUUAUCAAAAAUUUUAUUUUUGAUUCUCUCAUGGCGACUGUGAAGUAUUCCAGCCUUCGUAUGUUCGUAUUUAUUUACAAUACAUUAACAAUAAUAUUAUUAGUUUCCUCAUCCAAGGUAGUCAACCAGGCAGUCAGUUGUUAUUAAGGAAGUGUAUAUGAGAAGAUAUAUACAACACAUUUGUUUUUUUUGUAUUUUUUUAAAUAUAGUUUUAUACAAAUAUAUGUACUUGUAAAUACGAUAAGGUUGAUAUGGUAUUUUGAUUAAUCGUACGAGAUACACACAACACGCCUUAAAAAUUACGUUUUUACCUUUGUUAAGCCUACGUCAAUGAAAGAAGAGGCAGCUUAAUACGGUCUAAUCAAUCAAUUUCCUAUUUUUAUUUGACAUUUCUGUAGUUUCAGAAAGCCUAGAAAUUUUAUGCAAUCAAGUAAUCACUCCUAUGCUCGCGAAUGGUUAAUUUAGAAAUUCGAAAAAGAUUGUUAAAGGUGUAUGUUGAG